rfam:Necator americanus N_americanus-1.0_Cont884.8, whole genome shotgun sequence.
CCAACGGCCUUAUUUAGGGCCACCAACUUCCAAAUACAAAUCGAA